ensembl:lncRNA MIR100HG mir-100-let-7a-2-mir-125b-1 cluster host gene
GUCCUGUAACUGGUUUUCACUCACUCAACUGAGAGAUUUCUUUGUUGCAAUGAUGGGGUCUAAGAUAACACUUCUGGAGGCUGCAGGCGAGAAACACAGCUGAUAUCAUCUUUUAUUGUGUGUUGUUAUUUGCCUAGCAUUAUAAAUUAAGGAGGAAUAGUAACAAAGAGCUUGAAGACAUGCACAGCUCACAGGCCCCGGGUGGAGGCUGGCGACAUCAGACAGACAGAACCAAGACAUCUGAGGGGCAACCAGGAGGUGCGUGUGGCUGCAGAGCACACAGACUUGUCUUUGGACAAAAUUGAGAAGAACUCAUAAACUUGGCUUCCUCGCUUCUGCUCCUCAGACGCGCGUGGAUGAUUUGAAGAUAUUAGCCUAACAAGAUGGAAGCAGGUUUAAAAUUUUACAUAAGAAGUUACCUUUUUCAGAUACAGUUAAGCUAAUGAUCUCGAGAGGAUAUCGUCCUGGAUAAGGGUGGAGCCUACGCCCAAAAACAAGAUUACCUGAAAGAGAAAAGAAAGGGGGAAAACACACAGAGAUACAGUCGGGGAGGCCACAUGAAGAUGGAGGCAGAGACAGGAGUGAUGAGCCUGCAAGCCAAGGAAUGCCAAGGGCUGCCAGCAGCCAUGAGAAGCUGAGAGACACAGAGAACGAGUCCUCUGCCAGAGCCUCCAGAAGGAACUAACCCUGUCAAUACCUUGAUUUCGGACUUCUGGACUCCAGAACUAUAACCCUCCUUCCUCCACCUCACAAAAACUCACAAGCUGCAACCCUUCUGAUGUCCACUCCCACACAAACCAGCUUCAGGCCUUUUUCAAGAGUGCAGGAAAUUCUACCCCCCAAGUAUGGCACCUUGGCAUGCUGAGUAUUUUAAGCUGAAGGAAACAGAGAAAACCACAGAAGCAGAAAGGUCUUUCUGACCUCUCUUGAAGACCCUCAUGUGACAGGUGUCCUGCCCUACAUCCAGAGAGAAGGAAUGUUCCACAGACAGACUAAGAAGAAUCUGAAGAAUCAGGCCUUACUAAGUGCCCUCCAGUGGAUGCUGUGGGGCACCACCUCCUUGAGGACCAAGGCACUCCAGCUGCCAGGAAUUUGGCUGCUAACCUCACACAGCUGAGCCUUCCAUGAAAAUUGCUCUCUGCCAAAGAGAACUUCCUAGUCCAAGGUCAUGUCUACUCUCCAGAGAUGUGACUGGAGUGAUUUGCACCCGGAUGCCUAGACUCGCCAUCUGCUCAAAGACUGCUCAGAAAGCCCUCCCAUGCAUUCCCCUGCUGCAUACCAGCCCACUCUGCCUGCAGCUGCUGUCUGCAGGACUUCAUAUCUAUGCCACACUGUGUAAAAGCUGUGCUUCAAGAAAUCACAAAAACAUUUUCCUGCACCUACUACACAGCCUGAGUGCGGCAUAAGUUGACCUUGCUUGCUAAGAAAUGGGGCAAGAAAUGCUUUUUUGUGUGUGUCAUGUCUGUUUGUUUUUCAAUUAAGAGAGGAAAGCAUUAGGCAGAUGGAAUGUACAUGUGAGGAUGAGGAGACAGAAAACAAGUAGCCCUUUCCAUCAAGAUAGAGGGUUUUCUGGGGUUGCUGGCUAUUGAAUGUCACUCCUGAUUUCUCUUUCCAAGGCACUGUACCACCAGCCUACUGAGAUUGUGUGGGAGCUUUCAUGGGGGUUGUAUUUCACUGAUGAAAAUAAAUUUUU